CGCGCAGUCAGCAUGGAGCCUGGUUGGGCACACCGCGGGGUUUUUGAGGGACCAUGGGAGUGGUGGAUCCAGCGCCAAAGCAGAUUCGAAGCAGGGUCGGAGUGCACGACUUAAAGCCAUUGAUUCCCCCAGUUCAGGUAUGCUGCCUAACCUAUGCCUUGGAUGGGAUUUGGGGAUCCCAAUUUUCUGAUGUCUUAGCAGUAGUGGUUCUCAAUGAAGGUUUUACCUGCAGUGAAGUUUACAGAACAGAAAUGCAAAAUGCAGGAAGAUAAAAGUCUGCUAAACAAAACCCCAAACUGGAAAUCAACAUACAAAAUCGGUAUACCAAGAAAUGGUGUGACAUACUGAUGUCAAACUGGGCACUGUUUUAUGUUUCUGAUCACUUGUUAAAUAAAUAUUUAAUUAAUA